rnacentral:lncRNA from 10 species
CGGAGAGCAGGUGACGGCGGCCUCCGGGCAUGGAGCUCGCGCUGACGAAAGGUUCUGGAAGCCGCCGUAAAAACCCUUUGAGGAACCGUUUGAGGUGUGGCACGAUACAGCAAGUCAGCUGCCAAAGAGGGGCUUAGCCACAGGAAGUGCGUGCCCAGAACGCAUCUCCCGUGUCCCUCACAGCAGUUCUAUGAGGCUGGCUGCCCUGUUUGACAACUGAGGCCCGCAUCUUCCCCGGAAUCACCGACGUGUGGCUCUGAGCCCUGUCCCAGGGAUUUUCUCCAUCAGAGAAGAGGAGCACUUUGAGCUUUGAGAGGAGCAGCCCUCUGCAAGUGAAGUGGAAAAAAAGGAAGCAGGCGAGGAGGCCCAUCCAGACCCUCCCCCAAGACCCUUGCUGAAAUGGCUGGGAUGCGGCGUGCAGAAGCUCUCCUUUCCUUCACAGCCCCUGGCUUUCCAAGAGUCCCUGCCCACCCAGAUGCCCGCUGGCAGAUGCAGCCUCAUCUCAAGGACACUGCUUGCUGGAUAAAUCCCUCACCACCCUAGAGACAGCCCACGGUCCUGAGACAAGGAUGCGGGCCAGGCUUGUUGCACGUAAGCGCCUCCCGCAGAAACCAGUGAGGCCGGAGUUCCAGAGGAAAUGAUGUAGGGACAGAGGCAGAGGGCCUCCAGGAGGCACCAGCCCCAGAGUCUUCCCUAGAAUCAGACUUUAAGCACAAGCAGGGAGGGAAAGCACUUGAGCAGUGCCCGUCCCUGCAUACCUGGCCUCUGCUGGAACCCAUGCAGGGACAGGACACUUCUUUAUCAGCAAUCCUGUUCCUCUCCUGGGCAGCUUCAACCUGAACAUCCUCCUUCACCUUGAGCUAAAAUGGGUUUCUUGUCACCCUUGCCCAUCAAACCUGGCCUUGCCCUCAGGAACCACACAGGACAAGCCUAAUACUUCCUUCUUGUGGCAACACUUUAGCAAUUGAGACCUGGCUGUCAGGUCCUCCAAAUAAACAUUUGUGACUGUGA